CUUUCAGGGUUCUGUGCUUGUGGUAUGUCCUAAUUAGUUUUUAGGUAAAUUAAUCUUCAAGUGACCCUGGGAGGUGGGAAGUUAGUUCUCGCCCAUUCCCUGUUUCUUUCUGACUAUCUAAUUAUUCACCAGUGUUGUAAGGGUUGUGUUCUAGAAAGGCAACUCAGCAUGGGGUUAAGCAGUGCCCAAACAGAGGAAGAAGGGGAAAAAAUUACCAUAUUUGACAGGCACACAGCUGCUUUGAGAUUGUCAUUCUCUGGUUUUCAUUUCUGUCCUGUUGGUGUUGUAAAUUAUUAAUCAAACAGUGAUUACCUGUACAACCCUCUGAAUUUCCAAAGAGCUCUGUUAAUAUGAACUAACACACCUGUCAUGUGCUCAAGGGAAGUUAUGAACUCAGAGCCAAAUUUUCCCUUGCAUUCUGCUGCUGCAUUUUGCUUAUGAGUCAAGGAGUUUGGCAGGCAGGAAGGAGCAUAAUUUUGCCCUGAAUUAAGCAGGAAAGACUUGUGAUACAGGCUGGGACAAAGUUUUUUAAGAACAGAGGAAAAUGCUGGCUCGGGUGCCCAUAAAGAACCUGCACAAUGUAGAAAAAAAGUGAAAAUUCUGCAGGCACCGUGGUUUAAAGGAUAAAAUUGAGAGUGCCUAAAAAUGAUAAGGAAAGAAUUUAAAUAAAAAGUGUUGGGAAAAGCAAGGAGAUAUCAAGAUAGAUGUGGAAGAAAAAAUAAAUGCUGCAAAAAUUUUGUAAAGUCUUAGAAGAGUAUAAUUGAAUUUUGAGGCUAUCUAAUAAAAGAAGUAAACUUGGGGGAUAAGUGAUGUCAGCAGGUCAUGAAAAAAGGAAGACAGGGUCAGCUGCAGUGUCUGAAGGCUCUCUGGAAAGAAGGAAGUUGAAGCCAGACAGGUAGGAUUGGGAAAGGUUUGCAUUAUUUUAUCUCUUUCAUUUGCAGUUGCUGGAGUUGGGUUUGAUUUGCAAGGAGUAGAGAUGGUAAAAUGCGUUCAGUGACUGGCAGAAAAAAGGCCCCAGCAGUACAGGUUCAAUACUCACAGUCAGAAUGGAGAGGGCACAAAUGCCUCGGUAUAAAAUAACCUUAUUCAUUUGGGAAAAAAAUGUGGGUUGUAUUCAGUUGCUUUGAGUUUUUACAGCAAAACUUUUUACUUUUCUAAAACCAAAACGUAUUGGUUUAGUUUUGUUCCCCGUCAGCCUUGGAGUAGUUCAAGACCGAAAGACUGAAAGAGCAAAUUGAAAAAAAUGUUUUCCCACCUUCUUCUUACCUUUUGACCUUUUUGGAGAAGAAAAGCAAAGUGUGCCUAGGGUUGAGACACCAAAGAGAUGAACUGUGUGAGAAAGAGACACCAAGGUGAGCGAGAGGGUUCUAAAACCCAAAAGUCAGCUUUUAUCUGAAUGCAAACUGGAACAGAGCAACAUUUGAAACAGAGGAAACUCAGCAAGACAGAUCAAAAUGGCAGAGCUCUCCCCAUUGUCAUGCAGGACCCUUGAGGUCUUUCUCAGUCCAGCGAGUUUCAGUGUGUUCCUUGUUUGCAGCGAGUUCCAGCUCUCAGUCCCUCUGGGGAACUGUUCCCUUUCCCUCACUUCUAAAGCUUGACUCUGCAUCUGCUCCCCAGCAAACCCACCAGCCUUCUGCUGCAGGCUGAUUGUUUUCUGCCUGUUUUUCCCACCUUGUAACCCAGGACCUGCUUUUCCUCAUUGAUUUCUGCACUUUCGGUUGCUUUACAAGAUGUAACAACUCCUGUUCGUGCCAGAGGGUCUCACCUCGGCCUGGGCCACACGGAUGUGAACACAAACCUUCCUCCUGCCUGCUCAGCCCUUCAGCACAGCAGAGCACACCAACCAAACAGAUCCAGAUCCAGCAUUUCCCUUCCCAACUGCUCCCUCCCACCCUCAAUUCCACACCACUAUAUACAAAUACUUGGAAUACUUAUUUUUUUUUAAAGGAUCAAAUUAAUCAUUUGAUAACACUUUCCAUUCUUGCUUGGUCAAAGAGUCUCUGUUCAUGACAUGAUCUAUUCUGUGGCAGUUUUGAAGCUGGUUUUAAUUGUGAACAUACUGAAGAAUGGCCCAGUACUGAUCACUGUAAAGAAGCAGAUGAGUUUGUCCAUCUGAUUUUCAGUCAUUUAGGUGAUUCUGGAAUUAAUAACAUCUUUGCCUGUUGGCUCAGAGAACAGAGGAGGCCACUGGAUUUUCAGUGAAGACAGAAGAAAAGCUGAGGAUCCAAAUACAGGAAGGUGGUGUUAACUAAAGUAAGUGAAGAGGUUACAACUGGUGUGACUGCAAAGAAAGGAGAGAAAAGGAGAAAAUGAGAUGCUCCAUUAGAAAACACCAUUCAGAAGUGACAGAUUAAGCUACUUGAAAUGAAGGCAAAUGAGUGUUUUUCCAGACUGUGUGAAGACUCCAGUUUCCUCCUCCACCCCCAUUCCCUUUGAAACUAAAACAAAAAAAUAGAACUUCAUCAAAACCCUGAAGCAGGAGAAAAAUCCAUCUGCUCACCUAAUGAAGAUGAGUGGUACAAGUCUGUGCUGCUGACUGUCCCCACCUCCAUCUCUUUAAAGCUUAAGCAGGAUAAGAGGCAAAGAAGAGCUGCAGUAACAAGAGGACUUUGGAACUGAAGAAAGACCUGAAGAAAACAAGCCUUGGAUUGCUUCCACUCAAGCCCAAAAGACAGAGUUGAGUGCAGCACACAUUUGCAUUGGCUGCAGUUUGUCAUAAAAAGUACAUCCAGCCACAGAACUGAUGGUGAUAGCCCACAAUGGCAUGUGGGAACAGUAAGCUGUGAAAUGAGUAGUAAAUAGUAAGAUGUGCUGUUAUAUCCAGAGGAAUUGUGCUGGACUGGAGUAACUCACCACUGCGGCCCCAGGGGCACUGAAGGUCACUGGGCACUGGGAGCUGGAUGAGUGGAGUCCAACCAGAGUCGUGGAGGUCAAGGAAGAGCAUCCCAAUGGCUUUGCAGCAGGAGCAAUGACCCUUGCUUUGUUUCUGCAGAUUCUCCUUCCAAACCCAUGUCAUGAUGAUGAUGAUGAUGAUGAAGGCUGCAAUUUCUCUCUCUCACUAAGAGCAACCUGGGAAUUUCUGGUAUUUCCCACAGGCUCUUCCAGUCCUUUGUCAGUAGUCCUCCCUUCCUGCUGUGCUGCAUCAGCAAGGUCUACGUCCAGACAGAA